UGUUAAAUAUUGUACUUUGUGGAUACCCAUGAAUCUUGUAACACUUAUCAAUUAAGUGCCUAGAUUUCUUACAGUAUCUACAGAAUAAAGAGUCUCUAGCUUGGUCAAAGUUAACUCUUUGUCUGAAAUGAGAAGAAUUAGGCAUUGUGGCCUUAUUGAAUCCAGCUGAAUGUUUGUUUGUGUGAACAUUGAAAGACAUAGAGUCUGGAUUAAAC
rnacentral:lncRNA from 1 species